rnacentral:rRNA from 1 species
CCUACGGGAGGCAGCAGUGGGGAAUCUUGCGCAAGUGGGCGAAAGCCUGACGCAGCAACGCCGCGUGCGGGAAGAAGGCCCUCGGGUUGUAAACCGCUUUCAGCAGGUAACGAAAAUGACGGUACUUGCAGAAGAAGGUGCGGCCAACUACGUGCCAGCAGCCGCGGUGACACGUAGGCACCAAGCGUUGUCCGGAUUUAUUGGGCGUAAAGAGCUCGUAGGCGGUUCGGUAAGUCGGGUGUGAAAACUUUGGGCUUUAACCCAAAGCCUGCAUCUGAUACUGCUGUGACUAGAGUUCGGUAGGGGAGCGGGGAAUUCCUAGUGUAGCGGUGAAAUGCGCAGAUAUUAGGAGGAAACACCGGUGGCGAAGGCGCCGCUCUGGGCCGAUACUGACGCUGAGGAGCGAAAGCGUGGGUAGCAAACAGGAUUAGAAUACCCUGGUAGUCCACGCCGUAAACGUUGGGCACUAGGUGUGGGUUUCAACCAACGAAAACUACGCGCCGUCGCUACGACAUAAUAGCCGCCCGUCGGGUAGGUACGGACCGGCCGACGUAAACGUAAACGUAAAGAAAGUAAGUAGACGUAGAGAGAGCGACGACGACGACAGGAGAGGAG